rnacentral:rRNA from 1 species
AUGAAGUCGGAAUUGCUAGUAAUCGCGGAUCAGCAUGCCGCGGUGAAUACGUUCUCGGGCCUUGUACACACCGCCCGUCACACCAUGGGAGUCGGUAACACCCGAAGUCUGUAGCCUGACGCAAGAGGGCGCAGCCGAAGGUGGGAUUGAUGACUGGGGUGAAGUCGUAACAAGGUAAC